GGCCCACGUACCGCAAAAAAAAAAAAACACCUAAGAGAUACAUAUCACAAUCUCAAUUUACAGACCAGGAAGCUGAGGCUCAAGGGAGCAAAUGAUCUCAUCCAAAGUUUUCAUGGGCAGCGCAAAACCAGGGCUGGCUCCACAGCUCAUGCUUUUCCUCAGCACCAUGUUGUCUCUGAAACACACAAAACCUCCAUCCUCCACUCCCGUCUGAGCACUGCAGACACACCAACACCCUGACCUCUGGGAGGAUUGCUCCCACUCAAGGCUUUGAAGAAAAUUAUAGGGAAAGUGCCAGAGUGAACACUCGUUUCCCUUCCUUAACUUCUACAUCCCUGCGUCUUCCUAGUCCUGGCAAUUCCAGUCUCCCUUGUCUACACUGCUCUUGCCCCAGAAAAUCCCAAGAAGGCUUCACGUGGCUCUAUUUAAAUCCCCUUUCAGCACUCAGAAGCGGCUCUGCUUCCCUGGUGCGCUCUAGGUCUCCAUCUGGUUCGGAGGCUAUUUUAAUUCACCGGAUGUAGAUUAGCUGUGAUCUGGGGCUGAGCUGCUGGAGAGAUGCCUUUGUCUACAGAAGGACAAUUUAAAAACUAACUCAAAGCAUAGAGAACAAAUAAAUAAAUUCCUCUUUCUGUCUCCAGCACUCUCCAUCUCAUUUUCACAGGUAAUUGCUGAAGGAUUUUGCUUCCCACAGGCUCUUGCUUGUAUGGGGUGUGCAGUGCUGCAGCGUGGACCAAGGACAAGCAGCUUCUGGCCAGAAAUGCCAGUGAGCCUUGGAGGAGAGCUGCACCAUCGCCCUUCAUAGAUGAGAAAACUCUGAGGAGGGACGUCCAGCUUCAUGCAGCAAGUGCAGAAGCUUUUCAAACACGCGUCUUCUACGAGAAGUUCCGGGUCUCUCCUCUGCACCACUGCUGCCUCUUGAAGAGUUUCAAAGAGCUGGUGUCAAAACUGAGGUUCAGAGAAGGACAAUGCUGCAGACUUAGUCCCCCUGAAAGGACAAGCCUCCUAUACAGUGAGUGAAAAGACAGUUCCAUCCUUCAAGACUUAGACCCUCCCUGGGUUCUUUCCUGUAGGAGUGAGUGGUGUGGGUCUGCAGUUUGACCGGAGGCUGUUAGGUGUCAGGAUCACGCUUAAGGAAAGGAGGAGCUGCCUGGGAGAGAAGACUGGAGCUGGUGUGGUCUGUACACUGCUGAUGACGCAGGAGAUGAAUUUAGAUGGUAAAAUUUUUAUUGUUGCCUUCGAUUUGUGGCAGGGGCUAUGGCUUUCCAUAUAUAGUAAUGAUGUAAGAUUUAGUUUCUAAAAACAUUUAAGUAAAUAAAGAGAGUCAAUUUAAAGGCAAGUACGAAACAAUGUGGUUUGACUUUUGAGAAACUGACAAGGGGUCCUGAAAAGGUACUCCUGGCCCUGAAUUUCCUCCCAGACAAGCUUGUGGCAAUUCAUGGACUUGGGACCAGGAAUUGCCCAUUUUGGGAAACCUCUGUUCAAGCCUCAGGCGGCCGGAGCUAGAAGACAUUUGAAGGACCGCCUGCCUGAUCCAACAUUUCCUAUCAGAGAUGAGGAAAUGGAAGCCAGGGCUGAGGUUGUAGAAGGUGUGUCAGCACACACUUUCUCAGAAGGAGCCUUGAUCUGAUUCGCUUUCCGUCUGAGACCCCUGGGGUGCAGGGCUGAGCCAAUGGCCCAGGUUCACACCCCCAAGAGCAAGGUGGAGAAGCACAGGGUGAGGUUUUGAGCACAGUGGGCUUCAAAAUGACCAAAGCAGCUUUGAAAACAUACAGAUGCCUGGGCCCCAUUCCCAGAGAUUCUGAUUUGGUGCUUUAAUUUGGGGGCAGCAUUCAGGGAAA